rnacentral:rRNA from 1 species
AUUGAACGCUGGCGGUAGGCCUAACACAUGCAAGUCGAGCGAGCGGCGGACGGGUGAGUAAUGUCUGGGAAACUGCCUGAUGGAGGGGGAUAACUACUGGAAACGGUAGCUAAUACCGCAUACCAUCAGAUGUGCCCAGAUGGGAUUAGCUAGGAGGUGGGGUAACGGCUACCCUAGGCGACGAUCCCUAGCUGGUCUGAUAGGAUGACCAGCCACCAUGGAAGUGAGACACGGUCCAGCCUCCUACGGGAGGCAGCAGUGGGGAAUAUUGCACAAUGGGCGAAAUCCUGAUGCAGCCAUGCCGCGUGUGUGAAGAAGGCCUUCGGGUUGUAAAGCACUUUCAGCGGGGAGGCGUUACCCGCAGAAGAAGCACCGGCUAACUCCGUGCCAGCAGCCGCGGUAAUUC